ACGCAAUUGCAGUAUUUAUCUCUGUUGUCCUUUCCCUUGAUCUUGUUACUUUUCAUUUGCUCUGUUGCCAUCAUGGCAACAGACCUUGAUCGAUUUGCUUUCACAUUUAUCAUCAUCUUAAGUGCCAUUCCAAUCAUCUUUUCGGGAUACUUCUUUAUCAACACUCUCGUCUUCCUCGGCGGCGAUCCUGUUUGCGACCAUCCGCGCUUGGAAUGGGAUUUCCGGUUCGGCAUCUUCCUUCUCGUUCUUUCCGUCGCGGGAUCAAUCGGCACUAUGUGCAGAUCGAAGGGCCUCCUGAUGGCUUGCCUAACCAUCCUGGGUACUUUCAUCGCGUUCAUCCUCGUGGUCAGUUGGAAUAUCGAAUAUGGUGGAACCUAUGCUGAAGGUUCGAAGAGGAUUGAUUCGUCCUAUCGCCUUGAUAACUACGCGCCGUGGGCGGUGAAGUUCUUGUUGAAGGACGACGGUUGGACUAACUUUCGCAACUGUCUUAAUUAGAGGAAAAUUUGCGAAAAAAAACUCGACGACAAUAAUUUUUACGAGAACGGUUGGUGUGCUCCGCCCCAGUAUUGCGGCUUUCAGGACAAAAACCAGUCAUGGGUGAUCCCUGAAUCUGGUUUUUACGCGGAGGACAUCAACUGUGUUACUUGGAGCAGUGACAAAACAAAGUUGUGCCACCAGUGCGAGACGUGCCAGGCAGUAUAUGUCUACGUCAUGACGUUCAAUUGGCACCUUCGAGGGAUUUGGUUAGUGUUCGGCAUCGGCAUCUGGGUCAUGUGCCUUGCCUUUACUUGUGAGCAUGAGAACAAACAAAGACAACAGCAAAAUAACCGAUCGAACUAACGUCGACAAUGUUGAAAGUAACCCAAGUGUUCAACUUGAUCUGCCUGCCUAAUGCAACAACAUGAAGUAGUGUUACUAAUAUAUAUAUA